AUGGGAAGAGUUAAACAGAGCUUCAUGAAAAUUCUAAAUCGAGGAGUUUCAAGUGCGGCAAGGGAGGAAGGGCGUGUUCUUGGUACAGCCAGUGCACCCUACUACAUAAUAGAGAAAGGCCUGCUUAAAAAGCAGCUUCUGCGUACCUGUGGAGCCCUUGUAGUUACUGGCUUUGCAAUCUAUGGCCUUAAGGUUUUGAUUGAUAUGUGCGACGACAAAGAAGUUGGCAAAUUCGAUGCUUUGAAACAAGCGGCUGCGGAUUUAAGCACAAAAUUCAGUGACGUAAAGGGCGUCGACGAAGCCAAGGCUGACCUUGAGGACAUAGUUCUCUACCUACGAGAUCCCAAGAGUUUCACUCGCCUUGGUGGCAAGCUUCCAAAGGGUGUUUUGCUUACCGGCCCACCCGGCACAGGGAAGACCAUGUUGGCAAGGGCUCUGGCCGCAGAAGCCGGCGUCCCUUUCUUUGCAUGUAGUGGCAGUGAUUUCGAGGAGGUGUAUGUGGGUCUUGGGGCUAAGAGAGUGCGGGAGCUCUUUCGUGUAGCAAAGAAGCGAUCUCCUUGCAUAAUAUUCAUCGAUGAGAUUGACGCCGUUGCUGGGCGCAGACACGCAUUAGACCCGUCGUGGCAGAGGCAGACCAUGAACCAGCUGCUUUCUGAGAUGGAUGGCUUCAGGCAGAAUGAAGGGAUCAUUGUGAUCGCCGCGACAAACUUCCCGGAGUCGCUAGAUAAAGCCAUUGUCAGGCCUGGGCGUCUUGACCGUCAAAUCCAUGUUCCUACCCCAGAUGUUGAGGGCCGCCGGCAGAUCCUUGAGGCUUACAUGUCAAAGGUGUGUAAAGCCGAGGGUGUGGAUGCAAUGACCAUUGCGAGGGCGACACCUGGGUUCUCAAGUGCAGACCUUGCAAACCUAGUGAACGAUGCUGCUCUCAAGGAUUCAAGGGAUGGGGCAGAUGCUGUUGGGAUGGAUCACCUCGAGUACGCCAAGGACAGGAUCAUCAUGGGCAGCGAACGCAAGUCAGCGGUGAUAUCUGAUCAUUCGAAGAAAAUGACUGCCUACCAUGAGGGAGGUCACGCCCUUGUUGCUAUCCUCACGGACGGUGCUGACCCUGUCCACAAGGCCACAAUUAUGCCAAGGGGAAAGGCUCUCGGCAUGGUGACACAACUGCCAGGGGAAGACAGCGAACUGGAACUCUCGAGGAAGCAGAUGCUGGCGAGGCUGGAUGUCCUCAUGGGAGGGCGGGUGGCUGAGGAGCUUAUAUUUGGAGAAACCGGGAUCACAACUGGUGCCUCCUCUGACCUAAGCAAGGCGACUAAAUUAGCGAAAGACAUGGUCACCAGAUAUGGCAUGAGCAAGCGGGUCGGCCUUGUUUCCUACAGCAACGACGGUUAUGGUGGUGAUGGCAAGACAACGGCCCUGGUUGAUGAGGAGGUGAAAGAUUUAUUGGAUAACGCUUACAAGAAUGCGAAAACGAUUCUCACGGAGCACAACAAGGAGUUUCAUGCGCUAGCAAACGCCCGGCUGAAGCAUGGAACUCUCACUGGCGACGAGAUCAUCAAACUAGUAUUGACAGAACAACAAGCAGAUGGUCGCAACAAUAGCCAGCAGAAUCAGGUAACACCUUCUCUCACUGGCGACGGGAUCACGGAACCGGUGUCAACACAAGAACAAAUAGGCGAUGCUAAGAAUGGUCAGCAGUAA
rnacentral:rRNA from 1 species